CGGAACACGUACGCAACCUACCCUUACCCGGGGCAUAGCCCGAAGAAAUUCGGAUUAACUCCCCAUAAGAUAUUAGAGAGGCAUCUCUUAGAUAUUAAAAAUUUAUUGGGUAAGGAUGGGCGUGCGUCCCAUUAGCUAGUUGGUAGGGUAACGGCCUACCAAGGCGACGAUGGGUAGCUGGUGUGAGAGCACGACCAGCCACACGGGCACUGAGACACGGGCCCGACUCC
rnacentral:rRNA from 1 species